rnacentral:rRNA from 1 species
GACGAACGCUGGCGGCGUGCUUAACACAUGCAAGUCGAACGGAAAGGCCCCUUUGGGGGUACUCGAGUGGCGAACGGGUGCGUAACACGUGAGUAACCUGCCCUUGACUUCGGGAUAACUUCAGGAAACUGGGGCUAAUACCGGAUAGGAAUCCUUGCUGCAUGGUGGGGGUUGGAAAGCUUCGGCGGUUUUGGAUGGACUCACGGCUUAUCAGCUUGUUGGUGGGGUAGUGGCUUACCAAGGCUUUGACGGGUAGCCGGCCUGAGAGGGCGACCGGCCACAUUGGGACUGAGAUACGGCCCAGACUCCUACGGGAGGCAGCAGUGGGGAAUAUUGCACAAUGGGCGGAAGCCUGAUGCAGCAACGCCGCGUGCGGGAUGACGGCCUUCGGGUUGUAAACCGCUUUCAGCAGGGGCGAAGCUUGUGGUGACGGUACCUGCAGAAGAAGCACCGGCUAACUACGUG